ACUCGCACGAAUGCCUUCGGGACUUAACCCGGAUUUAGUAUCUCGCACAAAGGCCUUCGGGGCUUAACCCGAAAUUUGUAUCUCGCACAAAUGCCUUCGGAUCUUAGUCCGGAUAUAUUCACUUAGCACAAAGCCUUCGGGACUUAGCCCGGACAGCAUUCAAUUAAUCAUGCACAUCUAACAAUAAUUCAUGGCACAUUCAUAUUUCAUUUUCAUUUGCGAAACUCAAACACAAGGCACAUAUCGUCCUUGCACAUUCGGCUCAAUAGCCACACAUAGAGCAUGAUUUAAUCACAUCGUAAUUUAAGCUCUCUUACUCAAGAAC
rnacentral:lncRNA from 1 species